CCCGCGUAUGGGAGUAACCGUGUGGAUGCCGAUCAGAUUCGAAGUGUUUGUCGAUUACAAUCCCGCUGACCAUAGAGGGUGUUAGUCCCGUAGGAUCGAUGCUUCGGUUAUCCACGUCGGUUACUCUCGAGAGUCGGGUUGCUUGAGAAUGCAGCCCUAAGCAGGUGGUAAACUCCAUCUAAAGCUAAAUAUCCCCACGAGACCGAUAGAGAACAAGUACCGCGAGGGAAAGUUGAAAAGAACUUUGAAGAGAGAGUUCAAGAGAGCGUGAAACUACCACGAGGUUAAAGCGAAUGAGCGUUCGUACCCGAAAUGGUGGGGCUUCAAUUUCACCCUGGAGGUAACGCAGCGCCUGGUCGUAAACGUUAGUUGAACGGAUCCCAGCGAUUCUUUCGGGGAUUUCUCCGAAGGUUUCGAUGGUCGACCGACGUUUCAGGUAGCGAGCGCUGAAGGGGGAUGCACUGCCGGCCGAAGUAGGUCACCGCGGCCGUUCGAGAGGUGUCGAUGACACGGGGGUCAGGGAAACCGCUCACUCUCAGUCCGGAUAGGUAGCUUACCGACUCUUGGGUCGGUUUGAAGAUUACCGCCGA
rnacentral:rRNA from 1 species